UCUGUAGGAGGUUUGGACAGGCACUCUCUCACUGAUGUGCUUGUAACUUUCAUUGUCACCUUUAUCAGCAGACUCGCCCUGUGGAGAGGACAAAUUGGAUUCAUGACCAGACCUCCGAGAGGCUGCGUCUCCAGGCAGCUGGGGGGAAGCUGUCUGGAAACAAACACGUUUUCCAGCUCACUCGACCCUCGCAUUUCCAGAGCAGAAGGUCUGAGAAGCAUGCUGGGAUACUGAGUACAUUGGUUGUCCAACAUAGACAUCUCUCACCAACAGAGUAACAGGAAGCAUAAUCUAAUCGUCUUUAGUGCUCUGACAUCCAUGCUCAUUUUCAAGUCAUAUGAGAGGCCUUGCUAACUGAUGGUCGAUGCUCACGGACAUGUGGGCUUUGACAGUCACUACCUCCUUUUCGGGCAUCAUGAGAGGAUUCCUGCAGCUUUCUACAAGAGGUAAUUAUGGCCUUCUCCCAGUCUCUGGUCACCUUCCUUUCCUGGCACGAAUUGGCCUCUUUGAAAGGUGUAUCCUUUUCAAGGAUAUGCAUGAUGUGAUUUUAUAAUUGGUAGGGGAAAUUGGGGUCAAGAGAGUCUGCUGAAGAUGAAAAGCUUAGACUGUAUCUGUGAAGCUGCCAUGGACUGGAGAACAAACAAUUGGAUUUCCCUUUGUUCGCCUGGAUGGCUGGUGAGGAUGCUUCUGGAUUCCCAAGUCAAGUUCAUGACUUAUUCAUAAACAUACGUUUAACUCAGGUAACAUUAGAGAGAGCUCUCGGAAGCCAAUCCAAGUGCAAAGACAUCCACCCAGUGGGGUGGAUUCUUCUUAAUUUUGCUGGUGCUGGGACUGUGUGCGUAUUAUUUUGACUGGGAACAUAUUACUGAGGAUGGCCCUAUAUCCUGGUAAUCAUACAUGUUAGCCCUUUAAAGGCAAUCAAGUAAAUGCGACAGUGGCCAACUGUGUUAGUGUCCUGGAAGAGUGGUUCUGAGAGAUGGGGAAAGCUAUCUCCCCAUUGCAAUCGAGGAAUAUUCCCUUCCCUGCCUUGCAUUCUCUCUGACUCAUUUUAUUUUUAUUAUUUUUAUUUUUUGAAGAAGGGUCUUACUCUGUCACUCAGGGUAGAGUGCAGUGGCAUGAUCACAGCUCACUGCAGGCUUGAUCUCCAGGACUCCAGUGAUCCUCCCACCUCAGCCUCCUGAGUAGCUGGGACCAUAGGCAUAAGCCACUAUGCCUGGCUAGUCUUUGUAUCUUUUUUUUUUGUUUUGGUAGAGAUGAAGUUUCAUCAUUUUGUCCAGGCUGAUCUUCAACUCCUGGGCUCAAGUGAUACUCCUGCCUUGGCCUCUCAAUGUGCUGGGAUUACAGCCAUGAGGCACUGCACCUGACCCUGACUCAUUUUAUGUCAUAAAACCUUGAAUAUGCAAUCGUGUGUAAUUAUCUUUCCUAUGUUUUCUGUGGCCGUUUUUCUGAACCUGACGAACAAAAGGGGUUAAUACGUUCACAUUCCCUUUAGUUACUUUUUGUUUUCUGGAAGAUCAGGAGGCAGAAGAAAAGUGGGAAAGAUAUUGAGUGACACUUUGCUUUGAGUGACAAAUGGUGGUGGCUUGUCACAGUGCUCUUAGUCUGAGGGGGCCAGGUAGGCUCGCCUUGCAAAGGGAGCACAGAGUGGGAGCAGCAGGGCUGGGGAGAGCCUCCCGCCCUCCUGGCACCAGCCUGAUGGAGAGGAGAUGAGACAGGCCAGGAGGAGGUCGGGUGGCGUCUGCAGAUUAGGAAGGACCUUGAACGUUUUUCUUUGGGCUUUGGCUUUAAUUCCAGGUGAGAGUGGAAGUCCUGGGAGUAUUCUGAGCAGAGGAUUGACAAGCUGAGAUCUGGAUGCCAUCAUGGUGUCUGCGGCAUCAGGGUCAGAGUGUUGGGGCCCAGGUAGAGUAGGGCGGGGCUGGUGCAGGUGUCUGUGUAUGUGGUAUGUAGUGGUGCAAGGGGAUGAUGACGUGGGGAUGGUGAUGGGGUGGGCUGCAGAUUCUGGAGAUGCUUUGAGGCUAGAGCCAACAGGGUUUCUUAAUGGAUGGGCAGUGGGUGGGAGAGAAUGAAGUUGAAGAUGGGUUUGGAUUUUAUUUUGUUUUUGUUUGAGCAACUCUAGUGAACGGAAUUGUCAUUAACAGCAUAGGAAAGACUGUGAGAGAAGCAUGCUUGGAAGGGACGAUAUAUGCCAGCUUUGGGCAGGUGAAGUGUAAGACGCCAGUCAGAUAUCCCAUGAGAGAAGCCAUGCAAUUGGUUGGAUGAAGGCGUCUGAGUUGGGCUGGGUGCGGUGGCUCAUGCCUGCAAUCCCAGCACUUUGGGAGGCUGAGGUGGGCAGAUCACCUGAGGUCAGGAGUUUGAGACCAGACUGGCUGACAUGGCAAAACCCCAUCUCUACUAAAAAUUCAAAAAUUAGCCAGGUGUGGUGGUGGGUACCUGUAAUCUCAGCUACUUCAGAGGCUGAGGCAGGAGAAUUGCUUGAGCCUGGGAGGUGCAGAGGUUGCAGUGAGCCGAGAUCUCACCACUGCACUCCAGCCUGGGUGACAGAGUGAGACUCUAUCUAAAAAAAAAAAAAAAAAAAACCCCACAAAAACCAGAAACAAACAAACAAACAAAAAAAUGGGUGUGAGUUCAGGGGACGCAUCUGGAAUCAUCCGUGAGAAGGGAUGGGGUCUGGGAAGAACAGAGCAGAGGUUAGUGGUCUAUGUCAGGAUGCGUGCCAGCAAAACAAGGUUGGGGUGGUGGAGAGAAUCCAGCCUGGACAUGGAGGCGGCUCUCUGAAGGAGACCAGGACAUGGUCGUGUGCAUGAGCUGAGGUUGCAAGGAGAGACAUGUUUCAAGGAGGAACAGCUGUGUCCAAGCUACCGAGGGACCACCAAGAAGAAAACAGGCAACGCACGGCUGAGAUUAGACAGCGGUGGGUCAUUCAGCACCACGGCCACUGAGAGACUCAGAGAGGCGAUGGGCGAGAAAUGCAGAUGGAAAGGGGUUUAAGAAUGACCAGGAAAGAUCUGAAACAGAGGGAACAGAUGAUUCUUCUCAGGAGUUCUGUUGUAAAGGAAGAAAAGAGGAAGGUGUCGUUGGAGGGCAUAAAGGUUAUGAGUUUUGUUUUGCCUGCUUUUCAAGAUGGGAGAAAACCCAACACUAUUGGACCGGUGGGAAUCAUCUGGGAGAGUGAAAAAAUUAUGUCAAGAUGAGAUGGGAGAGUUUCUAGGCAGUUUUCUUCAGGGAGAAGAAUGGGAUUCAGUGAGCGCAUAAGUGCAGAUCCCUGAGAAGGGAAGGGGAACCCGGCGGUGAGCGUCUGUGGCUCCCACGGGAGGGAGGAGACAUCAGACCUUUUUGAACUGGUUCCUCAGCUUUUUCCUCCUCCAUCAGGAGACACGUCUCUGCCUGAAAUUUGGGAAUUGCGUUAGGAUAGGGAGAAGAAAACUUGUCAGUGAAAGAACACAAGGAAACAAGAAAUGUGAGUGAGUGUGGAUGUGUGGUGUGUGCAUGAGUGUGGGAUGCAGGGACAGGCCCCGUAGUCUAGACAAUGUAAGAAGCUAAAAAACCCCGUGUGAGAGUUCACGCAAGGGGUUAUCUAUAGACUAAACCUAAAACAGCCCUCAAUUUCUGUGGUGGAAAUAUCUGGCCAGCUUAGAAAAUGGUGGAAGGAUACUGGGCUAUGGGAAUUCUGUGUCAGAUUAAUAAGAAUAAGGGGAAAUGAGACAGGUUUUUAAUCUAUUCACCCACCUCACAAUGCUCCUCUGGUUCCCAGUGGUCCAGGUGUGUGGAGCACAGCCUCAGAGGCAGACAUGCCCAGACAAUGUAUGUAGAACAUGGUCCCUGAACAGACUUGAGCUCUGCUAGGAACCUGUGGGGAUCCCCGUCAGAGUUUUAUGUUAAGAUGCACUUCCCUGACUUUGAUGGCUGUGUCAUGGUUACAUAGGACAGUGUCCCUGUUCUGAGAAGACAUAUGGAAAUCUUCAGGGGUAGAGUGUCUUGAAGUCUUCCACUUACUCAUAGAUGGUGUGGGAAAAAUAGAGAGAACACUUAAAGCGAAUGGGAUACAAUGCAAUAUUAUGGUUACAGUUUUGCGAAUUUUCUCUAAGUUUGAAACAUGUUCAAAGUUGCUGAGUGGGGUAAGCCUGGUGGUCUGUUUCCCGGGCUCUACCUGGGCCUCUUGAGCUUUAUGAAGCUCCCACCUGUCCAGCGGCAGGUGGAGCAUGAGUGUGGUGGGAGGUGCUGUCUCUAUCAACCCGCUUCCUCGUUUUAAAUAUCAACAAUUGGCACUUUCUCAGUAUUGGGUGAAGAUCAUUGUUCAAGCAAUGCUGAUACAGGCCUUCUAGCCCCUUCUUCAGCUCGAACUAUGGCUCCCAAGUCCCUGCUCUGCGGGGUUUCUGUGGCCAUCCUGCCCACGCUAUGUAUCAGUCUCUUCCAAGUGUGGACGAUUAAAAGGACUUGCUAUGUGGAAUCAUCACUCUUGAUGGCUUCUUACUCUGAGGAAGAAACACCUCUCACUCUUGCACUGUCUUCCACCUUUAAGAGGGUCAGGUGUGCCAGUAUCUUCGACUGAUGUUUCUGUUGGAGUUGGGAGUGAAGCCCUGAAAAGUAGAAGAUCCUGAUGGGCUUUGUAACUAUUAGGAAGAUGUAAGACAACGUAACGUGACGUGACGUGACGUGACGUCACGUAACAUACAUGCCACCACACCGGGCUACUUUUUGUAUUUUUAGUAGAGAUGGCAUUUCUCCAUGUUGGUCAAGCUAGUCUUGAACUCCUGAUCUCAAGCGAUCCACCUGCCUCAGCCUCCCAAAGUGCUUGGAUGACAGGUGUGAGCUACCACGCCUGGCCAGAAACUUUCUUUCGAGGUUUGAUUUUUUCUGGGAGGGGGGUAUCUUAAAUUCAUUUAGAAAUUCAUUACUGUAGAAUUACUAGCUAUAAUCUAAACCAAUUUUUGCACAAAAGUACACAUUUGGUUGUCCUACAUACUCUUUAGGAUGAAGGAAUAUUUCGCUAUGCGAUUCUCAGUUUAUCCUCAAGUUCUGCUGUAGUUUGGAUCUGCUUCUACGUAUUAGGUUUGAAUGGAAUCAAAUAGGACUUUGUUAUGUUGUCUGAAUUCAUCCUACAUUAUGUACUUGAAGGUUAGAAGCUUUUAAAUGCACCAUGGAAAUAGAUACACAUUUCUGUAGAAUAAAGCUUCUCCAGAGAGCUUUCUAAUGGAGCCACAUGGUUGGCACAUAAUAGAUGGCAAAACGUGUGUUUCAUUCUAGAUUUGCAUCUAAUUUUCAAGAGAACUAAACAGAGGGGAUUACUUUUCUGUCCACUGCUGAAGCAUGGUUACAAAGAACAAGCUUCUGGGGCUUGAUUCAACAAAAGCCAAUAAACAACAUGGUGGACUCACCUGGUAAUAAUAAUAUAGCAUUUACUCAUUUAGUGCUUACUGUGAGCCAGGCUGGCCUAGGUAUAGGCCUAUUUGUUUAUCCCUUCAAACGGUGCAAUAGCAGCACAGUCAUGUAGGUAUUAUUACGAACAUUACUUUAUGUAUUUAUCUUUUUAUGUAGAGACAGAGUUUCAUUCUUGUUGCCCAGGCUGGAGGGCAAGGGCACAAUCUCAGCUCACUGCAACCUCCGCCUCCCGGGUUCAAGUGAUUCUCCUGCCUCAGCCUCUCAAGUAGCUGGGAUUACAGGCAUGUGCCACCACAUCCGGCUAAUCUUUUCGUAUUUUUUGUAGAGAUGGGUUUUUUCCAUGUUGGUCAGGCUAGCCUUCAAUUCCCGACCUCAGGUGAUGUGCCCACUUUGUCCUCCCAAAGUGCUGGGAUUACAGGCAUGAGCCACCACGCUGGCCCCGAACAUUACUUUACAGCAGAAAAGGCUGAGACCUGUAGAUUAAGUUUGCAAGCUGGCAAAUGGUAAAGUAGGACUCAAACUGAGGGGUUCUCCUUCCAGGGUCUGGGAUCUUAGUUACUAACCUACCUUCUCUGAGUGGCAGUCUACAGACUGAACAUUCUCACGGACACAGUAGGUAGUCACAGAAGAUGGCGGGAAACUGCAGGUGUUAGGUGACAUUUUUGGUAGCCAGGUCCUGCUCAGGUGAGUGGAAGAAAUCUAAAAGAGGCUCGUGUUUGAUUAGACAGGUGGCCCAGGCAACUGGGGGUCCAGGGUCAGUACUUAGUGGAGAUUGGCACUCAGUGGAAGUUUGUGGUGGUUAUGGUAAUGACUAUUGAAUAUUGCGACCCUCCCUGGCUCUUCGCAGAAGUCUCUUCUCACCUACCUUUGAAGUAGGGUGGUGGGCAUGAGAGGGUUCAACCAAUCAAAUAUAACUUUGCUUUUAGAAGAAGCUUGUUAGUAAACCUCUUCCUGUUCUCUUUCCUCUGACUCAGAAACAUGAUUUUCCAGAAAGCAUGGACUCCACCAGCCUGGGUCUAGAAACAAGGAUCAGGAAAAAAAAAGCCCUUUCAGCCCCUAUUCCUGCCCAAGAUGGAAUCUUGGAGAUGGAGAUGUGUUUUGGAGCAAAACACAAAACUUGUUGUCUGAGCCCCAUGAGAGUUUGGGAUUAUUUGUUACUUUCUUAGCCUAUCCUGACUGAUACACAGUGCAAUGUCCUCUGAGAGGAAGCAUCUCCAUACCCAGACCAGGCAGAACUGGGGUGUGAGAAGAUAAAUGGAGUUUUCAUAUCUGUUCCUGAAGCGCGUGGUCAGUUCUCAGGUGUAACAUUCUAGGCUUUUUAUGUGAGUAUGGAACCAGGAUUAAUGGGUGCUGGUCCUGGUGACUGUUAGAGACUCCAGCACUCGAAGCACUUGGUUAUACCCUCAGAAGCCUUAAGAGAUGAAGAAUCGGAAUUGUGCACGAAAUGGGAUGAACUCCUGAUGGGACAUGGGAAUGAUCUUGUAAAUUUACUUAGAAACUUUUCUUUUCUUGUAUAUAUCUCUUUUGUCUGAGACUCCGUCAUCCAGCCUGGAGUGCGAUGGCUUGAUCUCGGCUCACUGCAACCUCCACCUCCCAGCUUCAAGUGAUUCUCCUGCCUCAGCCUCCAGAGUAGCUGGGAUUACAGGUACAUGCCACCACACCUGGCUAAUUUUUGUAUUUUUAGUAAAGACGGCAUUUCUCCAUGUUGGUCAAGCUAGUCUUGCACUCCUAAUCUCAAGCAAUCCACCUGCCUCAGCCUCCCAAAGUGCUCGGAUGACAGGUGUGAGCUACCACGCCUGGCCAGAAAAUUUCUUCCGAGGUUUGAUUUUAACUCCUCAGAUGGGAUUGGAAAGUUGCUGCAUUUCCCUAUUCCAGAAGAAAGCCAGAUUUCAUUUUGUGGAACGGGUGAGAACAGGCUACACCCUCGUGCAUGUCUCAGAGGACUGUCACUCAUGGGGUCAUGGAAGAACUUCAAAUCCUCUCAGAAGUCAGCACAGCUGUGGUGAUACAUGGGGGCCAGGCAAACAGACCCACCAUGGAUGUAGAGAUCGGAUUUCGGGGACUGUGAGGCACUGUGUCUGGCUCUCUAUGUCACGCUGCUUUCACUGUGGGCAGAUGCAGGUGCAGGAGCAAGGUGUGACUUGCUGCAGGUGUGACCUUCGUGGCAGUGGAGGGCCUGCCUUGGCUGUCCUGAGCCGGACAAACCAGGCGUAUUCAGGAGACCGUUGGGGUUUUUGUGUCCCCUCACAACAGGGUAAAAUCGUCCACUUUCACCCAAGAUGGAAGAGGGAGUCAAAGAGGUUCCCACAAUUGCGUGCAAGUGGCAGGCAGUGGGAGAGCCAGGACAUGUAGAACCCCAGCUUACCUGUGACAGUUUCCUCAUUUCACGACACUCAGUCUGACAUUAGUUCAGUGGAAGAAGAUGAGAAAUGGGAAAGCUGCAAGGAAGCUGCUGCAUUUACCUCGUGAAAGGCCACAUGGAGGCAGCCACUGGGGAAAGGAAGAGGCCAGCAUGCAGGCCCGAUGCCUCCUCGGUGUGACCCAGAGAGUGUGAGUAUCAUGGAUGGAAAUGGGCCAAGGAGGAAACGUGUGGGACCCAGGUCAGGGGAUGAUGUUUAUUCUGUUCACUCUGUAAUCAAGCUCCCAGUACAGUGCCAGGCAAAUAUUUGAUAGUCAGUAUUUGUUAAAUAUUUUUUAUUUUUUUGAGAUGGAGUUUCGCUCUUAUUACCCAGGCUGGAGUGCAAUGGCACAAUCUCGGCUCACUGCAACCUCUGCCUCCUGGGUUCAAGCAACUCUCCCACCUCAGCCUCCCAAGUAGCUGGGAUUACAGGCUGUGCCACCACGCCCAGCUAAUUUUUGUAUUUUUUAGUAGAGAUGGGGUUUCACCAUGUUGACCAGGAUGAUCUCGAUCUCUUGACCUAGUGAUCCACUCGCCUCGGCCUCCCAAAGUGCUGGGAUUAUAGACGUGAGCCACCGCACCCGGCCUAAAUAUUUUUAAAUAAAUGAAUAAAUGAAUGCAUGAACAAAUGUUGGGCUGAUUGCAGGAAAGACAGAUCUGCUGCUCAAGACUGUGGUCUUGGCUGUAGAGACAGUUCCAGUUCAUCUAGAGUGAAGUGCUGGGAGCAGAUGUGGUCUUCAGGAGCAGCAGCCCAGCACAGAGGGAAAUGCGUUCUGCUUUUAGAAAGGGAAGCGGGAUUCUCAGGCUGCUCAUCUCUAUGGCCAGUGAAAGACUUCAGCAGUUUGAUUUUAAAACAUCACUUAGUGUUUGAUUUGUCACCUGAUCACCCUCUGAGGCAUAAAGUUGAAAUUCUAGGCCGAGUACAGUGUGUCACGUCUGUAAUCCCAGCACUUUGGGAGGCCAAGCCAGGUGGAUGCUUUGAGAUCAGAAGUUCGAGACCAGCCUGGCCAACUUGGUGAAACGCUUUCUCUACUAAAAAUACCACAAUUAGUGAGGUGUGGUGAUACAUACCUGUAAUCUCAGCUACUUGGGAGGCUGAGGCAGGAGAAUUGCUUGAACCCAAAGCCAGAGGUUGCAGUGAGCUGAGAUUGCAACACUGCGUUCCAGCCUGGAUGACAGAGCAAGGUUCCAUCUCAGAAAAAAAAAAAAAGUUGAAAUUGUAAAUAUGGAUUCAACCUUUGAUUUGCAUCUAGUUUUCAGGCAAGAAAAAUAACGAUCACUUAAGAGGUGUAGCCGUGAUUGCCUGGAAUUGAAGUGGCUGUUUAUCUUUCAGAAUGCCCUCAUUUCAUCAGGCAGUUUUCACUUUCCUUCGCGUGCUGUUUCCUCUGUGAAGUCUGAGGGAGUCGAGCAGCUCAGUGCUGCACAAUGCAUUUGUUUCUUCUUUCACAGAAAGCUUUUGCUGUCAUAUUUGAAAAUCAGCUCAGACGGACACUCCAAUUUGCUAAAAUCAAUAUAAUUAGGGAAAAAAUGGCUGUACUGAGAAGAGGACAAUGCAAGGAACUGUCGGGCAUGAUUGAAAUGCCUAACGAGCUGUGCAUCCUCGAAGUCUAGGAUUUGAACCACAGUGAAACCUGGACUUUUGUAAUGGAAAUUUUACAUUAAUGCUCAGUUCCUCCAUGGCAGAGCAAUGUUUGAAAAAAGCCUGAUCUGGAGUUAUGUCUCUUUUAAAGGGUGGUUCAAGCUGCGCACCAUGGCACCCAAAUGUCAUGCUCACACCUGACUUCCUCACGUUAUUGACAUAGGCCACAUUACUUCUGUGGCUCCAGUAUGGUGUAAAACUGUGAAAUUCUUUUGAGUCCCAGUUUGUUCUAGUAACAGUUGAAUCCUCCCAGGUGUUUCUCUAAGUCUUUUGUAGAGUUAACUAUUUUCUUUCUGAGAUGGGAGCUUGGAGGGCAGCACAAGGAGCAAUGACGUGCUUUGCCUCCGUGUGCACCCAAACCUCAGCUGGUUGUCAUAACCCCCACACGUCAAAAGCAGGACCAGGUGGAGGUCCCUGAAUCUACAGGCUGGUCUCCCCAAUGCUGUUCGUGUGGUAGUGAGUGACUUCGCACAAGAUCUGAUGGCAUUUUAAGGGGCCUCCACAUGCGCUGGGCACCCACUCUCUCUCUUGCUGCCCUGUGAAGAGGUGCCUUCUGCCAUGAUUGGAAGUUUCCCAAGGCCUCCCCAGUCAAGCAGAGCUCUGAGUCAGUUAAACCUCUUUUUUUUGAGAUGGAGUUUGCUCUUGUUGCCCAGGCUGGAGUGCAGUGGCGUGAUCUAGGCUUACAGCAACCUCCGCCUCCUGGGUUCAAAUGAUUCUCUUGCCUUAGCCUCAAGAGUGGCUGGGAUUAUAGGCCCCUGCCACCAUGCCUGGCUAACUUUUUGUAUUUUUAGUAGAGAUGGGGUUUCACCGUCUUGGCAAGGCUGGUCUCGGACUCCUGACCUCAAGUGAUCCACUCACCUCAGCCUCCCAAAGUGCUGGCAUUACAGGUGUCAGACACCACGCCCAGCCCUCUUUUCUUUACCAAUUACCCAGUCUUGAUAUUUCUUGAUAGUGACAUGAGAAGAAACUUAUACACAGUGUUUAAGUGAAGAUUUUGGUUUGCACACAGAAGAGCGAAGUAUGUGUUGUUUGUGGCCGGAGGAUCAUUUAUCAUCUGGAUAACUAGGCUGUGUGCUGCAAAGCCCCCGAGUCUGUCUGAGGCUCAGGGUUUUGGCUUGAAGAUUUCAUGGGGGCUGGGCACAGUGGCUCAGGCCUGUAAUCCCAGCACUUUGGAAGGCUGAGAUGGGCAGAUCACUUGAGGUUAGGAGUUCAAGACCAGCCUGGACAACAUAGUGAAACUCUAUCUCUACUAAAAAUACAAACAUUAGCUAGGCGUGGUGGUGGGUACCUAUAAUCCUAGCUACUCAGGAAGCUGAGGCAGGAGAACUGUUUGAACCUGGGGGCGGAGGUUGUAGUGAGCUGAGCUGAGAUCAUGCCACUGUACUCCAGCCUGGGAGGCAGAGUCAGACUCCCUCUCAAAAAAAAAAAGAAAAAGUUCAAAGAGUCUCAUUCUUAGAGCAUCUUAUCAGCGGUUGAGAGGGAGGCAAGGAGUAGGAAAUUUGUUGGUGUGGGAGAGAUGGGUAAGAUGACGGGUCUGUGCUUCUCAGGAGCCAUGUGUGGAGGUUCACUGAGUGAACCAGAAGUUUUAAUGGGAUAAGUUUUCUCAGUGGAAAAUCACAGCCAACGAGGUGGGGAAAAUGAGGAGGGCACAGGCUUUGAGCCAGGCAGCAGUGGCAGCCACCCUGGCUUGGCACAGCUGGGGACCCAUAGCUGCUUCUCCACCUCCCCCACAACCUUAUCUUCUUAUAGAAAUGGAUGAUGAGGCCUCCCCAUGUGGUGGUGAUUGGGAAGACAAAUGGGACAUCCUAUUUUAAUGGUGUCAAAAAAAAGGCAACAUCCCUGUAGUGGGUCCAAGCGAGCUUCUUAUCUGAUUUUUUACCACGAACACACACGACUGUAGUCCUUGGCUUAGACUUCACCCAGGAAUACUCUGGAGGGAUUUAAAGAAUUUAGAUAUUCACAGAGAUAAGGAGUAUAUGCAAAUGACUGAAACUGUGCUGUGGGAGGUGAAUUCAGAGUAACAAUCACGUACGCAUUCUCUCAUACCCACACACCAGCCUUAUGACCACGUGCCGGGAAGCUGGUAUCUCCCUCCAGAGUCAGCGUCCCCACAUCAAUGCCUGUGACUCGGGGCAUCUACAGGGAAUGGCACUGCCUUCCUCCUUGAAACCUGCUGGGCUUAUUUCUGGUUUCUGUGCUGCUCUGUGCUGCUUCCGCUUCUUGUUUUCAAGGCACUUAAUAGAGUUGGCAGAAACUUCCAGCCAGCUGCUCUUUCUCCACGUGGGAAUUUUAAGCAAGUGUUUUUCUCAGUCGAUUUCAAAGGAGGGUUCACUUCUGCACUCUGUAAAGGCCACAGUGCUAGAUGCUUCUUAUCGACGACACUGCACUUCUGUCCAUGUCUGACCUGCGUUUCUGCUGUGGGUCGCUCUGCAGCGGCUGCUGUGCCUCACCCUGCUGCCUUGGUUUUCUGCUCAUGGUUCAGUGGUGGAUGUGGCUUCUGCCUCAAGUCUUUUCUUUUUUUCUUUGAGAUGGAGUUUCAUUCUUGUCACCCAGGCUGAAGAGCAAUGGUGCCAUCUUGGCUCACUGCAACCUCAGCCUCCAGAGUUCAAGCAGUUCUCCUGCCUCAGCCUCCUGAGUAGCUGGGAUUACAGGCACCUGCUACCAUGCCAGGCCAAUUUUUGUAUUUUUAGUAGAGAUGAGGUUUUACCAUGUUGGUCAGGCUGGUCUCGAACUCCUGACCUCAGGUGAUCCACCUACCUUGGCCUGUGAUUACAGGCAGGAGCCACCUGGCUCAGCUAGUCGUUUUUAAUAAUAGUAAAUUUCACGUUAUGUUGGAAGUGAGAAGGGUCUUCUAUGGAGCAGAAACACAGUUGUGGGACCUUGGUAAGCAGCGUGACUAAACCCGUGCUGUUACUCGCAGGGACUUACUAUUGGCGUGUCAGCGGCAGAAGGUUACCUCCUGCCUGGCCUGCAGCACUGGUGCUUUGGUAAUGGUGCUGGAGAGGCUGGUGAUGAAUCUGAGGAAGAGGCUGUGGUCACUGUGACCCCAUGACCGCUCUGGGCCAGCGUCCCUCCUCUGCACAGAUCUUAUGUAACCCUGACAAAAGUCACAUAAUGUAGGCAUCCAUUUCAUAAUGAAAAACUCAAGAGAAGUUUAGGUUACAUUGCUUGUAUGUGGACAAGCUGAAGCUUGGACCCAGAUAUAUGACAGGGGGCAAAGGCCUUGUUCAUUCAGUUCACCUCACUCUACCAUCUUUUCUGUAAAGGAAUAACUUCUUUCCUUCCUUCUGCCCUGUUACUUCCUCUUCUCACUCUUUUUUAGGUUUUAAAUUUAUAGCUGGAUAUUUUGAUCUUGAUUAAGCUCUAAUAUUAACCAUGCGACGGGAGUGUUUGAAGCACAAAGCACUUGCAUUUCUUAGGGUGUGGGUCAGGUGGGUGGGUGUUACGGACUGAAUGUUUGCAUCCCCCAGAAACUUCUUCUGUUGGAACUCUGGCCCUCAGUGGAGAGGUGGUAAGAGGUGGGGCCUUUGAGAGGUGAAUAGAUCAGGAGGGUGCUGCUCUCAUGAGUGGAAUCAGUGCCCUCAUAAGAGGAGCUGAAAGAUUGUGCUUCUCUCUCUGCCACACAAGGAGUCAAUGGGAAGGUGUCUGUCUAGAAGCCAGAUACCAGCUCUGCCAGCACCCUGAUCGAGGACUUCCCAGUCUUCUGAACAUUGAGAAAUAACCAUUUGUUGUUUAAGCCACUAGAGUUUUCUGGGAUGACGGCCAGAAGUAAAACAGUUGGAUGGUACAGACAAGAUGGCCGCUGAAUCAGUGUCCCUCAUGGAAAACGGUGCCUAACACGGCACCCAGCACAUACUUAACACUUAAUAAAUGCUGCUUGAAUGAACAAAGACAUGGAUAUGAAAGCACCACCAUUACAUCCGUCGGUGAUUUCAGUCCUGUAAAGGUGUCAGCUUGGCAUGCUGGUACAUUGUCGGGCGUGGCAGGUGUGGUGGACACUGUGAUGAUACCUUCAGUAAAGGCCUCCUUGCCUCAGUGUUGGGGGACAGCUGUGCACAGUCUCCUGCUCUCAGCCCCUUCACAGGUCACUGCAGCUGCAGAGAGCCACCUGGCCCCGACUUCUGCCCUCCCAGAUGGCCCCGGGCCUAGGGUGACGGAUACAGAAGGCUGAGCCCCCAGCUCCCGGCCCCACUCUGGAUGGCCCCGGGCCUAGGGUGAUGGAUACAGAAGGCUGAGCCCCCAGCUCCCAGCCCCACUCUGGAUGGCCCCGGGCCUAGGGUGAUGGAUACAGAAGGCUGAGCCCCCAGCUCCCAGCCCCACUCUGGAUGGCCCCGGGCCUAGGGUGAUGGAUACAGAAGGCUGAGCCCCCAGCUCCCAGCCCCACUCUGGAUGGCCCCGGGCCUAGGGUGAUGGAUACAGAAGGCUGAGCCCCCAGCUCCCAGCCCCACUCUCGAUGGCCCCGGGCCUAGGGUGAUGGAUACAGAAGGCUGAGCCCCCAGCUCCCGGCCCCACUCUGGAUGGCCCCGGGCCUAGGGUGAUGGAUACAGAAGGCUGAGCCCCCAGCUCCCGGCCCCACUCUGGAUGGCCCCGGGCCUAGGGUGAUGGAUACAGAAGGCUGAGCCCCCAGCUCCCGGCCCCACUCUGGAUGGCUCUGCAGGGCCUGUCCAAGGGCUGAGCUCCCAGUGGUUAACAAGGCUGUUGAAAUGCCUCCCAGUGUAACUUCUGCUCUGCCCACUUCUGCCUGCUUUCUUCCCUUCCUCUCCUUAAUAAAUGCCCUGCGCAUCAACAGUCUUGGCGUGGGCUUCCUGGAAACCCACAGUCGGGAAACUCAGUCUGCAGCACCAGGUGGCCAAGCAGCGGCUGACUUUUUUUUUUUCUUUUUUUCUACCCUCAGACUUUAUACUUGUCAUUCCCAAUGUUGCUGUUAGGUGAUUGUGCAUGAGGAAAUGUAAUGAAUAGGCAGCAUCUAGAGCACUCUUAAUGUUCUGUAACAAUAUGUUCUUAUAGGAUAAAGAUCUAUUAUUAACUAUAGCUAAUUUGCAUUGAUAUGUAAACAUAAAGCCAACUUUUUAUUUGAAACAGAUUACAAAGAACUGCCAAUGCCUAGGUACUUCUGAAUGCCUUCUCUUUAGUGUAACUGAAAUUAAUUGCAAUUAUGCGUGUGUGUUUGCCCGUCUCACUUGAGUGUGAUGUUUCCUGCUUAUACUUUUCUCAGUAUAUUUUUUUUAGAAUUCUAAAGGUGUUGCAAUAUACUGAUGAGAACUGGAUGUGAGCAUUGCUUUUUGUCCUAGGACACUUGAUUCUGAGUUUAAUCCAGUUUUAUGUUCUAAACAUAACAAGAUGAAAAAUGAUAACUGCACCCACUCAGUAUUACUGUGUGUGUCUUUUCAGUGGAAAUGAUCCGUUAUGUCUCCGUACGGAGCUUAUUCUGUUUAUCAAACAGUUCCAGCUUGUUCAUUUUCUCUUUUUUCCCAGCUUCUUAUUCUCUACUCGGACUAUGACAAAGAGCAUCACAGGAACCAUAUGACAUGCUGUAUUUGGCUACACGUCUGUGUCCCUGCAAAGGCUCCUGUGUCUAGAGUGUGGGGAUCACGUUCUGAUUCUCCUUCCCCAGCAGAGUGCUCAGCCAGCAUGUAACUGGGGAUCAGCAACAUUUCCGUAAGUGGGAAGGAUGAGGAGUGAAGGGUGUUUCUGUGGCCACAUGUUGGCCCCUUUGCUCAACUCAAGGGACCUCUCCAGCCUGGUCUACCUUCCGCAGUGGGAAGAGAGGAAAGGGACACGAGAGUCAUGUGUAAAAUGUGGCUCCAUCAUCUCAAAUCAGGGAUGAGCUCCUGCCUAUUUCUAGAUAUGUCAGUGAAGGUAGAUGCAGAGAGAUAGAGAGAGAAAGAGAGAGAGUGAGAUGGAGAGAGAGACAGGAAGUGGGAGAAGAAGUGAAAAAAGAGAGAAGGAGAGGGUGAGGGAGAUGGGGAGAGAGAGAGAGAGGGAAGCAGAGGGAGGGAAAGAGAGGAAGGAGAGAAAAGGGGAGGAGACAGGGCUGAGAGACCAGACAGUGGAUUUAGAGUCCCUGGUUCCGACAAGGUCCUUUGUGAAAUCAGAACAGGUUGUUUUUCCACUGGAGAGCGGCAUCCCUGUGGGCCCAUGGCUUUCCCACUGGGCUGCAUCUUGGUAUGAAUUAGAAAAUGUCAUCUUUAGAUUGGAGAUUCUCAACCUCAGCAGUGUGGCCAUUUGGGCCAGAUAAUUCUGCUUUCGGGGGCUGUCCUGUGUAGAAUGUUUAGAGGAGCAUUCCUUGCCACUACUCACUAGGUGCCAGUAGCAUGUAUGUCAAGUUGUGACAAUCAAAAAUGUGUUCAGAUAUUGCCAGUGUUUCCUGGAAGGCAAAAUUGCUUCCUGUGAGAUCUGCUCACUUAAAUGAAUGUAGCUGUGUGCAAAAGUGCGUGGUCUGGAAAAGGACUGUAGGCGGGUUUUUUGUCAUUCCCCGAUGACUUUCUGUGUUCCAGUUGCUCCCUUGGCCAGAUGCACUUGUGCAGUGCACAAUCUCCACAACUGUACAUAGCAGUCCUGCUGGUUCCCAUGCCUUCCUGUGUCAUGGCUGAAUCUCUUCCACUGGGUUAUCUCGGACACCCCUGAGUCCUUAAAACAAAUGUGCCCUUUACACCUUGUCUUGACUUUAGUUUUAUUUGUAAGCAAACAGGUGUUAUCAUCUUUUUCUUCUUUUUUUUAAAUUGUGCUUCAGAUUCUGGGGUACAUGUACAGAUCACGUAGGAUUGUUGCAUAGGUACAUACUUGGCAAGGUGGUUUGCUGCCUCCAUUCCCCAGUCACCUAUAUCUGGCAUUUCUUCCCAUGUUAUCCCCCCCAACCUCCCCACCCGCCACUGUCCCUUCCUAGCCCCCCAACAACAGACCCCAGUGUGUGAUGCUUCCCCUGUGUCCAUGUGUUCUCAUUGUUCGACACCCACCUAUGAGUGAGAACAUGUGGUGUUUGAUUUUCUGUUCUUGUGUCAGUCUGCUGAGAAUGAUGGUUUCCAGAUUCAUUCAGGUUUCUACAAAGGACACAGACUUAUCUCUAACCCUAGAAGAAAACCUAGGUGUUAUCCUCUUCUUAUCCCUCCAUCUCUGUUUAUGUUUCAUCAGAAAUUUCAAAAGGUGCUUCCCUGUUUAUGUGAGCACAGGUAGCUACUAUCUAUCUUUUGGAACUUUUCGCAAGUGUAAAAGUGUUUGGUUUGAAAGGUGUUACCUGUAUUCAACACUCAUCAAAUCUCUUCUUCUAGGGCCUUUUCUUCUUUCUCUGACAUUUUAUUUUUGGACAAAACACAUCUAAGACACCACAGAGUGUAUUAGUUUCCUUACAAGAAUGUGGCACCAUUCGCCUUAUUAACGCUGUUUGAUCUUUGACAGGUGAUAAAGAUAUGACAUGAAACAUAUAAUUUCACAUUUGAAGAGAUUCCAAUUAGCAUAUAUGAGACAGGAAAAAAUAAAGAGGAUAUUUGCUAAUUAAUUGAAAAUCAUGCUUCUGUUUAGAAUGGCGUUUCUCAAACUAUCAGGUCUGUAAUUUCAUGAGAAAGAAAUCACCACCAUUUUAAAGUAACAGAAAUAGGCCUGGCAUGGUGGCUCAUGCCUGUAAUCCCAGCAAUUUGGGAGGCUGAGGUGGGUGGAUCAUGAGGUCAGGAGAUCGAGACCCUUCUGGCCAACAUGGUGAAACUCCAUCUCUACUAUAAAAUACAAAAAUUAGCUGGGUAUGGUGGUGGGUGCCUGUAAUCCCAGGUACUCGGGAGGCUGAGGCAGGAGAACUGCCUGAACGAGGGAGGCGGAAGUUGCAGUGAGUCGGGAUUGCGCCACUGCACUCCAGCCUGGGUCACAAGAGCGAAACUCCGUCGAAAAAAAAAAAAAAAAAAAAGUAACAAAAAAUAAAAUACAAAAUACUACCUUAAAUAAGUUAUUUUUAUUUCUUCUUCUUCUUAUUUUAAAGAGUGAUCACGAUAGCUGUCUCUCCCUGUGGUAUCUGUUAUCCAACUCACUGGUGCCAAAUCCGAGUGUGAGGUCAGAUUCAAGCGUCCAGUGUCCUUUCUUUCUAUGAAAUGAAAAAUCUGUACUCUCAAUUAUAGGUUGUCAGGAAUGACAGCAAUUGUUUGGUGGCUCUAUAAUACAGUUUUGGAUAUUUUAUCAAAUAUGGCCCCGGAAAUUAUAGAGCAUUUUCUUACUCAAGAAAAUGUUCAGACACCGAGACACUGAAUCGAUGAGCAUCUAUUGCACUCAGAGGUGCACUGAAUGUUUGAGCUUUCAAGGUUGCAGGGAGUGAAUCCCUCAUUCCUGUCUGAGCUGCAACUGGGCCUAAAAAGGAUUCUUUUUCCAUGUUUGGUUAUAGCGUUGGAAUGCGAUUUCUAAAGAUGCUCCAUAAUAUGUCAUCACAUUGGCUCCAGGGGGAAAAGAAAACCUCUUUCUGGAUUGGCCCUCGCCGGGGUCUCCAGCCGCACUGGCCUUUUUGGACUAGCCAUCCAGGGACCUGCUCACCCCCGUGUGUUUGCACUCAUCUCCCCCUGGUUCUCUUUGCAUGCCUGGCUCUUUUGCAUCUCAGAUAUGUCCUCAGAUGGCACCUCUCCAGAGAGGCUUUUUCUGAAGUGGUGUCCCAGGUCACUCAGUCCCAUCACGCUGUUUAAUUUCUCCCCGGCAUUUACUGCAAUCAGUAGUGACUUUGCUGACUUGUUUACAUUUUCCCACCGGCAAACAAGGUCCCCAGACGUGCGGCUGCACUGUGUGCGCAGGUGCGUUUCCAGUGCCUGGAACGCAGUAGGUGUUUGAUAGACAGGCGCUGGAUUUCUAAACUGCUGUUUCUUCCCACUAGAAACUAUCAUCUUUUAAAUCCUGUAAACGUAUUUAGAUUUUGAUUUCUUCUCUGCCUUUUUAAGAUAAAAAGCUAAUUUUGGAUGUAGAGCAUUAUUUUGCACUUUUUCUUUCUGAAAAAUAAACCUGGUUUAUCAGAGAGGUGACUUUACUCUCUUUGAAAAUGAUGUGAGGGUUUGAUGGCUUUGUGCUGUUCUUUAGAAAAAUCUCACAACUUUCAGUUCACUGGGAGGCAGGAGCAAGUGGAUCAUUGGUCCAUUAAAGUCCAUUUUUCAAAUAAUUGCUAUUGGAUUAAAAAAAAAAAAUCUUUUCCUUUCUUUUUCAAUUGUGUGGAAGAAAUCACACUUUUGGAUGAAUUGUCCCAACACAUGUAAUUUCAAAUUCUACGCUCCCAUGAAAAUCUUGCUCACAAUGGUUAUAGACUGA